ensembl:lncRNA
ACUAAGUGCUUCAGACUACAAGAUUUCUUUGCAUUAUCUUUCUUACACAAAGAUUGCAGUACCACUAUUUGGCAGAGCAGAUUCUCAGCUACAAAACACUAUUUCUCAAUGUAGUCACCACCGUUAGCACUGCAUUUUCACCAGAGAUGAAAAAGAGACUGCAUGCUCAUAAAAACCUGCACCUGAAGAGGUGACCUACUGUUGCUGUCACCACUGCUGAAAUGCACCACUCACCAUCUCACUGUGCUGACAUCCACUGUUUGGUCUCCAUAAACAUUUGCAGAGCAUUCAGUGAAGAACAGAAGAAGAGCUGAAUUUUGAACACAGUGAGGCAUAAAGGAGGAGAGAUACUUCUGGUAUUGCUGACAGUAUCGUUCAGCAAACCUCAUGCACUGCCAGAGGCUGCAGGGGGGCUGAAGGACAGCUCACAGUCAGAGAAACCCAGCAGUGUUUGCCUCAGCAGAUCUUGUGGGAUCAUCUGUUGCUGCUGCCAAGAGUCCUCAGUCCUCAGCAGCAUCUGUGCCAGACUUACCAUUGAUCUUGUGAUGUGAACCUGGUGUGAAUGCCAAAGCCAAGCUGCUCGCCAGCCCCUUGUGACUCAGAAGUGAUAACUCCUGUGAGCCAAGGUGCACAGUCGGCACAGGACAGCCACCACCCAGGGAGCUGCUGAUCUGUGCCACCUCCAGCUUCUGUCAUCCACAGCUACUACUUCAGCACAGUUCUCCCUCCCCAGAUGUCCUAAGCAGCCAUAGAACAAAGACAUGAGUGAACAAUUUGCAGUUCUACAGUCUGUUCAUUAUUUCAAAACUUCUCUUUCCUGUCAUGAUUUAGAGACACCAAGAAAUGAAGUUAAAUGAAGCAUCACUUGGAUAAAACAGGGUAAACUGAACUCAUACUGAGCUUAUAAUAUUGCAUGUUUAUUUUAAAAAAUAGAUGUAAAAUCUGGUCAUAUUAGCAAUGACUUAAUCAUGUGGUAUUUGCAAGUUGAAACUUGGAGUAGCCCAUUUAAGUUCAAAAUGCCUAACUUUAAUCUGUAUAUUAUGUUAUAGUUUACAUAUUCUUGAGGAUUGCAUUUGUCCAGUUCCAGGAAAGUCCAAUAGUCCUUCUUACUGUUUGCUCCAGUGUGAAGUAGGGAGAAGGGCUGAUUACAUCGUUCCAGGAGGAGUCAGGAGGUCCUUUCCUCAUUCUCCUUCAACACUUGGCAGUGUUCUCCUCUCCACAAACAUUUCUGUAGGAAUAUCUUGAAACCACUCUGCUGUCAAAACCAGCCUGGCUAAGUAUGGCUGUUUUACUCCUAGUUCACCUGGUUUUAUGACAGAGUUGGUAUUACUUGUCGGCUCCAUGCUGUGACAGCUGUGAAAGUUAAUACAUUCUUCUUCUGCUGAAAACUGAGAUUUCGGUUUUACUUCUGGUGGCUACUACUCACCUCAGCUCUACACAAAUAGAAAUUAUAUCUUCCUGUUCUAUAGAACGUGCAAAAUCAAGCACUCUAUGUGGUUUGUGUGGGCACAACACCUACAAUAUAUUUGUUGAAAGAGAAUCGCUGUAAACCAACCUUAUAUUCCCUAUCCUCAGGCCAGACUUGGAAAGACUUUGCAAUCCACCAAAUGUGCUAAUUUGUUAAUAGAUGUGUUUGUAUGGAAUAGAGAUCCAUUUUAAAGUAUUGUUUUUUUAAAAAAUUUGAAAUCUAAUUGUUGUUACUAAUCACAGAAAUGCAUGCUGAGGAGACUGCUGAUUUCAAAGAGAGAUAUCAAUGCUUAAAGUAGCCUACAAUAGUAUGUGGUUAGAAAGAGCAGUUGAGGAUUGAUUCCCUUAAUUUCUUUGAACUAAAGGAUGAAAAGGAUAUAAAUCUGAAGUUCUUGUAAAAUGCUGCAUAGAGCUUCUGAGGCCAUAAGCUGUAGCUGUGAUCACAGUGAAAUACUUGUGUACCAGUCACCAAGGUCAGAAGGACAACAGUGUUCAAAGACCAUGACUGGUGCAAAAAAAUGGGAACUCUAAAAAUUCUAGUGAGGUGAUCUAUUAAAAAAAAAAAAAAAAAAAAAAAAAAAGAGAGAGAGAGUUUAAUGGUAUUAGUCCCCAUAUUAGGGAGUAAAAGGCUAAUUAGAAAGGUUAGGAAGAAAUUUCUGCAGUGGUAGGGAAUCACACUUCUCAAGCAUCUGAUAACAGACACAAGUAGAGGCAGAGAUAAUAAAUUAACAGGAUCUCAGAGCAGGCUGAGCAUAGAUAUCCUUUGUCCCAGUUUGAAAACAAAGGAGAUGUCCACCAGCAGAGAGCACAAAGGAAUGAUAAUAUGAGACCAGCCAAGGGCUUAUUUUGCUUGGUGCUGCUUCAGCUUCAGCUGCUUCAGGCCAACAGGACAGUCUUUAAGAUAGGAAGAAUGCAGCUCUUAACUCUUAACAGCCCUUAAGGGUCAUCUAGUCCAACUCCUCUGCAAUGGACAGGAACAACUACAGCUAGUUCAGGUUACUCAGAGCCCCAUCCAUCCUGACGUUGAGUGUCUCCAGGGAUGGGGCACCUAUCAACUCUCUGGGCAAUGUUCAAUUCACGUUCAAAGUUGUAUUAUAGUGCCUUAGAGAUAUUUAUAGCUGGAGUACCUCUCCUAUGAGGAAAGGUAGAGGGAACUGGACUUGUUUAGUUUGGAGAAGACUCCAGGGGGACCUCAUUGCAGCCUUCCAGUACUUGAAAGGAGUGUAUAAACAGGAGGGGGAACAGCUGUUUAUGAGGGUGGAUAGUGAUAUGAAAAGGGAGAAUGGUUUUAAACUGGGACAGGGGAGGUUUAGGUGAGAUAUUAGGAGGAAGUUCUUCACACAGAGGGUGGUGACACACUGGAACAGGUUGCCCAAGGAGGUUAUGGAUGCCCCAUCCCUGGAAGCAUUCUAGGCCAGGCUGGAUGUGGCUCUGGGCAGCCUGGUCUGGUGGUUGGCAACCUGCCCACAGCAGGGGGGUUGGAACUCGAUUAUCAUUAUGGUCCUUUUCAAACCCAGGCCAUUCUAUGAUUCCAUGAUUCUAUGACACCCUGGCUCUGAGAUGGGACCCCUGAGCACCAUCACACACAGAAAAUAUCAGGGAUCUCUGCUACAGCCAGGGGCUACAAGAUCAUGGGUUUUAUAGCUGAAUCUGUACGUACAGCAACUGUGCUCCAGCGCUUGAAAGAAAUAACAAACAUAAAAAAAUGACAUGCUUCCAAACUAAAAUUUUUUGACACUGUGAAGAGUAUUCGAACUGGUGGCACAUAUUAGCAGAAAGCUUUCCUCUUAACAGGAAAGUUUGAGCAGAAGUACUUAGUGCUGAGCACAUUUUGGAGAUUAAGUUAGUGUGGUUAAUGAAUUCUGAUCUACUAGAAAGAGUAAGGCCAUAAAAUAAGCUUCUUCUCAUCACACUGUCACUAUAUUUGAACAGUAUUGUCCCUAUGUGGGAAAAGUUGAUGGUAAAAGCAUUCAGAUUUUGGCCAAAUAAUUUAAUGGAAAUUAUGAAGUACAUUUGUGCUACUCAGAUAUGUCUGCCCUUUCCUUUAAGCAGAAGAAGGAUUUCGAGUUUCUAAUUUUUUGGUCAUUAAGUCCUGUCCGAAGAUGAUCUAAUACUACAAUUGUUAUUUCGUAACGACAAUCACUGAGAUUUUGCUGGUUAUUUUGUCUUGGAAGUCACUACAAAACUUGAUGCCAUGUACUUUGUUUUUGUUUUAUUUUUACUGAAUUACAAAGUUUUGCCAGUGCCAGAGUUUUGCAGAGGUGUCACUGGUUCACUACAGUUUUCAACAGCAUCCAAAUCUCAUUUUCAUUGAAAAAGAAAAAGGAAUUGAGAAAACAGAUCUUUUCCAUUUAAAAAGGGGCGUUUCAGUACAGUUCCUUUCCAAGAUGCCUGGAUAGCCUCUUCUUAAAUUCUAACCCAGAAUGAAAACAAAUUUUGAAGCUGCAACAUUUUGUUAUGUACUGGAACUGCCGCCCACUGGCCAACUUUACUUUUUUAUUGAAUCCUCGUGUUCCAUCUAAUGAACACUUUGUACUGCGUGUUCCCAAGCCUGAGAUGACAGAAAAUCUGACUACUAUUUUGAAUAUAUAUUUAUUUCUUUAUUGGCUGUUUUCUAUGGGGUUCAUAGGUGGGAGAAAUCCUUCUGAGAAUUGGAUUAAAAAACUGCAGAUUUGAAUUAGUUAAAAAAAAGAGAGAGAGCGAGAGAGAGAAAGAAACACAUCAUUCCAGAAGAAAAAUGAAAAGGAAAAUAUUUCAACAAUAAUACUGUUUAAUUGCCAUUUGAUUCAUGUACUGUUCCUUAUAUUUUUUGUGUAAAGAUUUAAAAACAUAUGUAUAGAUGGUAUGACUAGACAUAACACAAAAGUUUUUUAAAACUUCUUUAAUUCUCCUAGGACCCCCAAAAAGUCAUUUUUAAAAUGUAAAUUUAAAUAGGACUUUUUCUAACACACAUAUAAGCUGCCCAUACAAAUUUCCAGACUGUAUCUCACCAUUCGGGGUUUUGGUUUACAGCUCUGUAGUUUGGGGACAGUUUAAUAAACAAGGAUUGGGAAAUCCUAAUUACGUCUGUAUGGCAUUUAUGAAGUCAGUAGUUCUACUUGUAUAAUGUUUGGCCUAAUUAUACAAAUUUCAUUUUCCCAAAGUAUUACAUUCAUUUAUAUAACCACACCAUUCAUUUCCUGUUCCUGUAUUUACUGCAAAAAUACUGAAGCUCUGGAGACUUCAUGCAUUGGACUCUUUUUUGUGGUUACUAAGUUAGGUGCAUAGAUUUUUCUGAUUUAUAUAUUUUUUUAAAUUAUUAUUUACUUCCAUACCUGUAUUAUAAUUUCUUGAAGAUGUAACACACUCACAUUUUAUCUAACCAGCAAGAAAAAUGCAAAUUUCUUUUCUUGUUAAUUUCAUUUAGACAUUGAGAUAAGCAUGACUUUUGUAGAAUCAAGGGUGGUAAACAAUGAUGAUUUUAACAAUGAUUAAGCAGAACACCUAUAGAAAAAGCACUGUAGCAAUGUUUAACAGUUUUUUAUAUGGAGGCAAUGUAAAUCUCAGAAAGAUAGUGUUUAAGAAGGCAUUUUAAAAUUCAACAGGUUACAUGCUAUACAAAAUAUUAACUAUACUUAUUCUGACUAACUGCAACUUUACUAUUCUUGAACACUGUAAAAUUUUAUGAGAAAAUAUGUAAAACUAAAUGCUUUAGAAGUCCAACUGAAUGAAAUGUGCAGUUGUGUUUUUAUCCCAUUUCCAGGGUGCAGAAUUUCUGUAAGCAGAACAAUGUAACUCCACCUUUUUUUUAAUUUUUUUUUCACACCUAGUCAAACAGGUCAUUCCUAUACUUCCCAAAUAAGAUAAUAUGCCUUAUCAAAUCGUAUUUGUCAUCCAGGAAGCAGAAGUGCUGGACUUAUUUGAAUAAACACAGGUCUCUCAUUUUCCUAAUUAUUAAUAUUGUGCUCCCUCCAUCAUUACAAAAUAAUUUCUGAAAUCAUAAUUAAAUGAGUAAUAAAUAUAAUGUUUUGUACUUUGUAAAGGAAAUAACUAGGUAAUUUCCUACACUUGAUGCCAUUCUGGUCUAUAAACUUCAUAUGAUCUCAUGCUUCCUGAUGCUGGCAUCAAACCAUUCUUCACAGCAGUGGUUGUGAACAAAGAGUGAAACUCUGCAGGCUAGAAAGUGUUUGAGAAAUUUUGUUGACUAAUGUUACAGCCAAAAAUUGUUCAAACAAAAAAGAUUCUUAAGAAUCUUUUCUCUCGGAAAAAGAGGGGGACACUCACAGAGAGAAGUCCCUUCUGAAAUUGAAGAGUCACCAAAACCAAGAAUACCUGACCGAAAACACAAAACAAACUGUUGCUGAAAAGGUUUUUGCACUGUUAAUUAGUUGAUGAACACCAGGAAGCAUAAUAACAGCUGUUCUCCCUCCUUGUAUGAGCUGUCAUAGAAACUGAAAUGUAAAAAAAAUCGUACGUGAACACUGCUUGUGCAUCAUUAAGCAACUAUUGAGUAUAGCUUCUAUUCUAAUGAUACUGUGGAAGUGCUGUUAUGCAUAAAAUGUAAAAUGUUUUUUUCUUGGUUGUAUUAUUAUAUGAAGAGUUAAAAUAGAUGAGCACUACUGAUUGACA